GACGAACGCUGGCGGCGUGCCUAAUACAUGCAAGUAGAACGCUGAAGGAGGAGCUUGCUUCUCUGGAUGAGUUGCGAACGGGUGAGUAACGCGUAGGUAACCUGCCUGGUAGCGGGGGAUAACUAUUGGAAACGAUAGCUGAUACCGCAUAAUAGCAGUUGUUGCAUGACAACUGUUUGAAAUGUGCAAUUGCACCACUACCAGAUGGACCUGCGUUGUAUUAGCUAGUUGGUGGGGUAACGGCUCACCAAGGCGACGAUACAUAGCCGACCUGAGAGGGUGAUCGGCCACACUGGGACUGAGACACGGCCCAGACUCCUACGGGAGGCAGCAGUAGGGAAUCUUCGGCAAUGGACGGAAGUCUGACCGAGCAACGCCGCGUGAGUGAAGAAGGUUUUCGGAUCGUAAAGCUCUGUUGUAAGAGAAGAACGAGUGUGAGAGUGGAAAGUUCACACUGUGACGGUAUCUUACCAGAAAGGGACGGCUAACUACGUG
rnacentral:rRNA from 1 species